GGCAGCAGCCUCCGCUUUUGCUCCCCCGCUCCUGGAGGAAUCGGCCUCCGAGAGGAUUCCCACCUCCUACCCCCCCCUCCCUCCCUCCCUCGCCUGCACCGUUCCCCUGGCACCGACCGCUUCUGCUGCUCCUCUGAAAGGAGAAGCAAAACGCCAAAAUUCCAUCUCGAGGAACGAGCCCUUGCAGAAGGAAAUAAUAUCUGGAGACGGUUCUUCCAGAUGUGUCCAAGGAAAAAGAAUGUCAGGGUAGGCUUUAGUUGAUGGGGGGACUAUGCACACUGGAAGGUUUAGCACACAAGAAGGGAAAUACAUCUACUGAUUCAAGACUGCCUCUGCCGUGGGGUUUUCUCCAGGAGAAGCCAAGGAAUUGCUCAUGGAAGGGUGCAGAUUAAGUUAUCCCAAGGGGAAGUAAAGAAUAAAUAUCUCAUUUUUCCAUCAAAAUGCUCA